rnacentral:sRNA from 1 species
UUUUAAUUGAAUAACACAAAACUUUUACUGACUUUAUAAAAGUAUGAGUCCGUAUUUCACAUGUGUAUAGAAAGGCGAAUUAUGAAUCUUUUU